GGCCGGGCUGGCGCAGGGGGAGCUGCUGAGACCCGCCCUUGGAGUCCCGCGGGGCGGAGCGGCUACCGGCUCCCGCCUUCUCUGCGCGAGUUACCUGUCGGUCCCACCGGCCACGUGACCGAGGGCGGCUCCGGGAACCGAAGGGGAGGGCCGCAAAUCCCAGCGCUGGGCGAGCGCUCACUCCCAGAAACCCAGCGGGUUCUGCCAGAAUUCUGGGGUGACUCUAUCCUCCUGCGCCUCCCCACCGACCCUCACUAUGAGGCAUGAGGCCUCCGCCAAGGAAACUGCAAAACCAAGGGCCUUCUGCAGUCACAUGAGGGACUCUAUCCCCACCACCACCUCCCUUUGACGACGGGCCUGUUGUCUGGAGAUGUGAACGCGCUGGCGGGUGGGGGCUAGCGGCGAAGCUGUGAUGAGGGCGUGCGGGCUGCAGGAUCCUCCGUCUCUCCUCCAUCUGGGACCAACAAUUUAAUGGGGCAGUCCCCGCGUGGAGGGCUCCCUGCACCCUUUCGCCCAUUCGAGAUUGGUGAGGCCGCCCGGAAUUCCCCGAAAUUCUCCCGUUUAUGUGACUGAGAAACUGAAGAAGAAUCCGGCGGGAGCAGAAACGUGGGAUUGCUGAAACUGAGGCGGAAGACGCUUCCGGAACCGCAGGUUGCUGCGUCCGGAUCUUCGGACAAAGGAGGGAAAGAGUCCGCGGUGGAGCGGGCGCCUCCGAGGCUUUGACCGCUGAACCCACACUGCAGCUCGUCCUCACUUGGCGGAUAAAGAAACUGAGGCGCUGGGGACGCAAGUGACUCGCGCUGGGAAAGAGUAGGAAAUAGACCUGUGUCCGGCGACUUCGGGUGACCAGCGCUUUUCCUAGCGAUGUAGGCGGGUGUCCGCGCGUGGCUGCCUCUCCGGGGACCGCCCACCCGGUCCUGAUGGUCCCCACCCCCGAAGCGCUAAGCCAGUCAGGCUCCGGGGAGAGGGGAAACGUCGCUCUUCGGGCCCCGUCCCCUCUAGAUAAGCCUGGAAUGUCAAAUAUUUGCUUACUGGGAGGGGCACAAUAACAAGGGAAGGCCCCUGCCCCGCUCCCCGCAGCGGGCGUGCAGCCGGCAGAACCCGGCCUUCCUCCUGGCCACCCCCUUGCAGCCGACUGCUCUUCACCUCAGCAGCACUCCAGACCUCGGGCUCUCCUAAAACUCCCCUCUCGUCCAGGUCAGCCCCUGGUCGCCGCCCUGCCAUCUGGGCACUACUUGAUUUCGGUCUCACCCUUCCUGGGCCCCCAGCCUCCCCCAUCCGUUCAACCUCUAAGACCCCUCUGGGCCCUUUCCUAUUCUUCAGCGCGGGUCUCGAUGCAGGAUCAUCUGGGAAGCCUCCCUCUCCAGGCGGCCCCUCUUCUGUAGCACCUUUGGCCGUCCAUAG